UACGUAGGGGGCUAGCGUUGUCCGGAUUUAUUGGGCGUAAAGAGCGUGUAGGCGGCCAGGUAGGUCUGCUGUGAAAACUCGGGGCUUAACUCCGGGCCUGCAGUGGGUACGGGCAGACUAGGGUGCGGUAGGGGAGACUGGAAUUCCUGGUGUAGCGGUGAAAUGCGCAGAUAUCAGGAGGAACACCGGUGGCGAAGGCGGGUCUCUGGGCCGUAACUGACGCUGAGGAGCGAAAGCGUGGGGAGCGAACAGG
rnacentral:rRNA from 1 species